UUUAACUGAAGAGUUUGAUCAUGGCUCAGAUUGAACGCUGGCGGCAGGCUUAACACAUGCAAGUCGAGCGGGGGAAGGUAGCUUGCUACUGGACCUAGCGGCGGACGGGUGAGUAAUGCUUAGGAAUCUGCCUAUUAGUGGGGGACAACAUCUCGAAAGGG
rnacentral:rRNA from 1 species